AAAACAGGCCUUAGGGUUUCAGAACUCAUUCUUCUUUUCUCAAAAACCCUUGGCCGCCGCUCCUUUAUCUCUCAUUCAAAAAUAUCUCGUUUUUGGGAAAUGAGUGAAACCAUCUCUUUCAAAGGUGCAAAGGAGGAUGAUACCUCCGUAAGCUUCAAGAGAUCUGACUCUCGAAUGCACGAUGCACUCAAAUCUAUGGAUCUGAACGUUCGUUCAAGAGAAAGAGAUUCAAAAGCAUCUUCUCAAGCAUCUCCUCUUGUUUUUGAAACCUUCUUGUUUCGUCUUCAAGAAAUGUUUGAUGCUCAACUUAGCCAGUUAAAGUCAUCCUUGGAUGACAACUCAAAGAGGCUAAGUCGACUUGAAGAAAGAGUUGAUCAAUGGAUCUCUCUCUCGGAGAUCCUUACAAAAGGCGUGGAAGACUCUAAUAGUUACUCUAACUCAGAGUCCUAGGAGUCUCUUUAAAAGUAGCGUCCUUUUGUGUCACUCUUAUUUUUUUUCUUUUCUUGUUUUUUUGUCAUCAUGUUUUUUUUUGUUUUGGG
rnacentral:lncRNA from 1 species